rnacentral:lncRNA from 1 species
GAGCGUUGUGCGAGUGGACGUGCCAGCGAAGAUGUGGGACAGUUUGGGAGGCUGCCGAACGUGGGGCGUGCACGGCACUGGAGGUUACUGCGACGUGGGACAAUGGUGGCGUCGAUCUGCUGCUGACUGUUAGUGUUUCUGCUCUUUGUUUUCUUGGUGUAAGGGGCUUAGGUUUAGGGCCUAGUGUAUUAGGCCAAGGGUAUUUGGGCAAUGUUAUGAUUUUGGGUUGGUCUUAUUUUGAAUGGGCCGGGCAAAAAUGGGCUAUUACAGCUGCCCCUCUUUGCUCGUUGUCAUGUAAUGGGAACAGAGCAAAGAUUAAAAAGCCCAAUUUUGCCCGGUCAUACUGGACCUUGGUGCUCCUCUUCUUCUUUAAAUAGCCUCAUUCCUUUCUACUGCAUCUUUAGAGGUAUAGGAACUAGUGCUUCAAUCCACUCUACUGCAACAACAAUGAAAUAGGAUUUGGGUUUUCAAUUCAUUUAACUGCAAUGUCGGGGAAACAAGAUUCGCCGUCAUGACUUCAAUCUAUUCCACUACACUACCAGGGAAGUAAGAAUUACUGGCUUCAAUGUACUCCACUGUAACCUCAGGGAGGUAAAAUCUGCCAUCUUCGAUCUACUCCACUAAUGCCUAGGGAGAUAAGAUCUGUAAUCUUCAAUCUAUUCCACUGCUGCUCAGGGAGAUAGAAUUACUGGCUUCAAUGUACUCCACUGUAACCACAGGGAGGUAAAAUCCACCAUCUUUGAUCUGCCCCAUUACUGCUUAGGGAGACAAGAUCUAAAAUCUUCAAUCUAUUCCACUGCUGCCCAGGGAAGUAGAAUUACUAGCUUCAAUGUACUCUACUGUAACCACAAGGAGGUAAAAUUCACCAUCUUUGAUCUGCCCCAUUACUGCUUAGGGAGACAAGAUCUGAAAUCUUUAAUCUAUUCCUCUGCUGCCUAGGGAAGUAGAAUUACUGGCUUCAAUGUACUCCACUGUAACCUCAAGGAGGUAAAAUCUGUCAUCUUCGAUCUACUCCACUAAUGCCUAGGGAGAUAAGAUCUGUAAUCUUCAAUCAUUCCACUGCUGCCCAGGGAGAUAGAAUUACUGGCUUCAAUGUAUACCACUGUAACCUCAGGGAGGUAAAAUCUGCCAUCUUCGAUCUACUCCACUAAUGCCUAGGGAGAUAAGAUCUGUAAUCUUCAAUCUAUUCCACUGCUGCUCAGGGAGAUAGAAUUACUGGCUUCAAUGUACUCCACUGUAACCACAGGGAGGUAAAAUCCACCAUCUUUGAUCUGCCCCAUUACUGCUUAGGGAGACAAGAUCUAAAAUCUUCAAUCUAUUCCACUGCUGCCCAGGGAAGUAGAAUUACUAGCUUCAAUGUACUCCACUGUAACCACAGAAAGGUAAAAUUCACCAUCUUUGAUCUGCCCCAUUACUACUUAGGGAGACAAGAUCUGAAAUAUUUAAUCUAUUCCACUGCGGCCUAGGGAAGUAGAAUUACUGGCUUCAAUGUACUCCACUGUAACCUCAGGGAGGUAAAAUCUGUCAUCUUCGAUCUACUCCACUAAUGCCUAGGGAGAUAAGAUCUGUAAUCUUCAAUCUAUUCCACUGCUGCUCAGGGAGAUAGAAUUACUGGCUUCAAUGUACUCCACUGUAACCACAGGGAGGUAAAAUCCACCAUCUUUGAUCUGCCCCAUUACUGCUUAAGGAGACAAGAUCUAAAAUCUUCAAUCUAUUCCACUGCUGCCCAGGGAAGUAGAAUUACUAGCUUCAAUGUACUCCACUGUAACCAUAGGGAGGUAAAAUUCACCAUCUUUAAUCUGCCCCACUACUGCUUAGGGAGACAAGAUCUGAAAUAUUUAAUCUAUUCCACUGCUGCCCAGGGAAGUAGAAUUACGACUUUAAUGUACUCUACUGUAACCUCAGUGAGGUAAAAUCUGUUAUCUUCGAUCUACUCCACUAAUGCCUAGGGAGAUAAGAUCUGUAAUCUUCAAUCUAUUCCACUACUGCCCAGGGAGAUAGAAUUACUGGCUUCAAUGUACUCCACUGUAACCACAGGGAGGUAAAAUCCACCAUCUUUGAUCUGCCCCAUUACUGCCUAGGGAGACAAGAUCUGAAAUCUUCAAUCUAUUCCACUGCUGUCCAGGGAAGUAGAAUUACUAGCUUCAAUGUACUCCACUGUAACCAUAGGGAGGUAAAAUUCACCAUCUUUAAUCUGCCCCACUACUGCUUAGGGAGACAAGAUCUGAAAUAUUUAAUCUAUUCCACUGCUGCCCAGGGAAGUAGAAUUACUGGCUUCAAUGUACUCCACUGUAACCACAGGGAGGUAAAAUUCACCAUCUUUGAUCUGCCCCACUACUGCUUAGGGAGACAAGAUCUGAAAUUUUUAAUCUAUUCCACUGCUGCCCAGGGAAGUAGAAUUACGACUUCAAUGUACUCCACUGUAACCUCAGGGAGGUAAAAUCUGUCAUCUUUGAUCUACUCCACUAAUGCCUAGGGAGAUAAGAUCUGUAAUCUUCAAUCUAUUCCACUACUGCCUAGGGAGAUAGAAUUACUGGCUUCAACGUACUCCACUGUAACCACAGGGAGGUAAAAUCCACCAUCUUUGAUCUGCCCCAUUACUGCCUAGGGAGACAAGAUUUGAAAUCUUCAAUCUAUUCCACUGCUGUCCAGGGAAGUAGAAUUACUAGCUUCAAUGUACUCCACUGUAACCAUAGGGAGGUAAAAUUCACCAUCUUUAAUCUGCCCCACUACUGCUUAGGGAGACAAGAUCUGAAAUAUUUAAUCUAUUCCACUGCUGCCCAGGGAAGUAGAAUUACUGGCUUCAAUGUACUCCACUGUAACCACAGGGAGGUAAAAUUCACCAUCUUUGAUCUGCCCCACUACUGCUUAGGGAGACAAGAUCUGAAAUCUUUAAUCUAUUCCACUGCUACCCAGGGAAGUAGAAUUACUGGCUUCAAUGUACUCCACUAUAACCACAGGGAGGAAAAAUCUGCCAUCUUUGAUUUGCUCCACUACCGCUUAGGGAGAUAAGAUCUGUAAUCUUCAAUCUUUUCUACUGCAACUGAGGGAGGCAGGGCUGGUGUCUUCAAUCCGCUUUAGUGUCGAUGCAGGAAGGCAAGAUCUGCUAUCAUCAUUGAUCUGUUCUCUAGGGAACAUGACCUGUAUAAUUCACUUUAUGAACCUAAUUAUGCCUAGUGAUUAGGAUGUCAUGAUCAUAAUAAAUCCAAUGCUCCUAACUAGACAUGUAUGAAUGACAUUUGAAUGAAUGCAGAAUGUCAUGAAAAUGAUAUUCUAACGCUUGAGUUAUUAUUACUCCAAGUUUAUUAAGGUUUCAUCACUAAUGUGUUAUAACACUUUCUUGCUCAGCUGGCGUCUCCAAAGAAACACUUGACCAGAUUGCCCCCACUGUAAACCUCCAAGUUUGAUCCACUGGGAUGUAAAAUUUGUACCAUCUUUCUCCCGUUGUAACCCAAGAGUAAAAAGAUUUGGUCUUUUCUCAAUUCUCAUCUAUCGCAAUUCAAGGAUGCAAAAUGUGAAGCACUUUGGUCUUUCAUACCAAUCUCAGGGUGUCAUACCAAAUGCCUAUGGACGAAUGAAGGAUUCUCCUCUCCAAAGAAACCCCUUUUUAUUGCUUGGUGAUUAUUGCUUGUUUGUUCAUCUAAGCCUUGCCACCAACCUAUCAUCCUGUCAUUUUGUUCAAUCAAUGUUUUUGACAACAAAAUAAAAAAGAAAGUCCUAAUUUAGACUUUUCCUUCUCAAAUUUCCAACCUUUAAACCUGGUGCGUUCUAAACAACAGUCCUGUUUCAGGCUCCUAUAUUGUUUAGAAACUUCUAGAGUAAUAUGCAAAACUUCCAUUGUGAAAGUUUUAUUAGUCCAUUAAUCAUUAUUCCAAUGCAACAUGCUUGCAAAAAGGUCAUAACAAUGGAUAAGAAUAAAGUUAGUUUUGAGUAUAGCUCGAAAGGAAUAAACUAUCAAAAAUAGUAAAGAAUGAUAACAAAGAAAUUGAUUGGGAAUGCGUAUCUUGGAAAAGAAUGAAGUAUUCCAAGAACAAAAAAUUCAAAAUAAAUAGUAUGGAGACAAGGUGUCCCAAAUGUCGCAGCUUGAACUUCUCUGUACAAACUUCUUGAAGACCAUUUUGAGUUUGACAUGUGUUUUGGAGAUUUACAUUACUCUGUCGAUGCCCCAAGAUGUCGUGUACCCUUACCUGCUGACUAAGGCAUAUCAAGAUCACAGCAUGCCCCAUUCUAAUCAACAUUUGAGUUGCUCUGAUUACCUCAUGCCCAUUCUGAUCAAUAUUUGAGCCACCCUUUUCGGGUUUUCAACUCAAAUCCCCUUUGGUCUAAGGCACCCUUUGCGGGUUUUCACCUUAGCCUCUCCAUUUUACUUUUCUAUUUUUCAUUUUUUCACUUUUUCAUUUCUCAUCUUUUUUUUCUUUUUUUUUGCGACUCAAAGUGCUCUUUGUAAGGUUUUACCUUGGUCUUCUCUUUCUUUAAAUGAAGUAUUUCUUGACUAAAUCUGAGUUUACAGGAUUAGACAAGUUUUUACUAUCCAUCCCACUCAAGAUCAGUGCUCCUCCGGAAAAUGUCUUCUUUAUAACAUAAGGACAUUCCCAAUCUGGCACUCAUUUUUCUCUAAAUCUUUUUGUAGAGGAAUGAUCUUUUUCAAUACCAGGUCUCCUUCAUGGAAUUCUCUAGGACGAACCUUUUUGUUGUAAGUUCGCAUUAUCCAUUUUUGGUACAUCUGACCGUGACGAAUAACUUUUAGCCUUUUUUCUUCAAUUAAGUUCAACUGAUCGUCUCAAGAUUGGAUCUUCAUCCUACUUCAGCUCAGCUAAUGCUCGAAGAGAAAGAAAUUCAACUUCAAAUAAAAAAACCAUGAUAGGUUAAAAAGAAAGACAUUGCCCCGGUAGAGGAUUUUUUUUGUUUUGUUUUGUUGUUGUUGUUUUUUUUUUGCAUUGAAUCUGCACUCGUAGUAUUAGGCAAGUCUUGGUUAUCCCUUUUGAUCAGAAUCAAAAUUAUUCUAGAUAAGGUCUUCCCCAUAAGAUCUUCCACUUUAAUUAGGAUGAAAUCCAACAAGAAUACAGAAAAAUGACAACUUGACUUCAACGGGAUAAGCCAGAGAAGAAGGCAUUGCCCCGACAAAGAAUUUUAACUGCAUCGUUCAUGAUAUGAAUCUUGAACAUACUGCAAAUUUUUAAUGUUGUGCUAUUGCUCAGAUUACAAUAUCAGUGCUUAACCUGGGCAUAUCCUGGUAUAACCAUACGAAGGCAUCUUUGAACUCUUGAAGUAACUUAACAAGGUCUUGCUUCGUUUAUCCGGUUAUGCAUGUUCUCUUAAAGUCACAAUCUCCAUUGUCUCUUCAAGAGGUAAAAUUUGUUCUCUUCUUGCUCUACCAUCCUCAACAAGUCUGGAGAUAGACUACGAUCUAUGUCAUCUUCAAAGCCAUGAGAUCCCUCUAAACACAUGUCUUGCUCAAAAGGAGAUUCUAAAUUUGUAGCAGUGUCAUUCAAGUCAUUGAUAUCUGGGGGGCCCAUAAUAAAUACCAAAGAAUAUACAAAAGAAUGUAUAAAGUUAUGAAGAACUAUAUGUACAAUAUGAUCAUAAAUGAAUGAAUGAUGUGGAAGAAAAUCCAAAAGAAUGAAAGAAUAACUAUUCAGACAGACUGAAAGAAUAUUGGUUCAAAAAUGAUCGCAAUGAUGCAUUUCAUUAAAAUAACGACAUUUAGACAUGAGCCUACUUCACAAAGGAAUUCUUAUUGCCUCUAGGCUAAAAGCAACAAGUGUGUUUUGAACAUUGCUCUAAAUAAGCCCUAAAUACUACAAAUAUUUCUUCCGCAGUUCGAUUGUUUAAAACACUCCCAGGUUUACAAAGGUGGAUAUCUAAUAAGGUCCCUUUUCGAUUGUGUCUUCAUCUAUGACAUUGAUGUGAACACUUCCCAACAUCUCUUCAUACAUCGCAUUCACCUUAUUGUCAAUCAUGAUUGGGUAGCGGAUUUUCUGCAUUAGAUGAGUCACCCAACUUGACAAUACCCAUGUUGAUGAAUUUUUCAACUAGCUUUUUGAAGGUAAUGCAAUUCUCUAUUGAGUGCCCCGUAAUUCCUGCGUGGUAGUCACAUUGCGCGUUCACAUUAUACCACUUAGGAUACGGAGGUUGUGGAGGUUUUAAGUAAUGAGGAGCAACAACAUGCGCAUCGAACAAGCUUUGAUAUAACUCCUUAUAGGACAUCGGAAUUGGUGUGAACUGGAGCUUCUCAGUACCUGGCUUCACACAUGAUUCUUGUCUUGAUGAACCCUGCUGAUUAGUAACCACCUUUCUUGGCUGAUUCACCGUAAUCGAUUUGCUGUACGUGUUUAUGCUGUUCACCUCAUUUUCUUUUUCUUUUGGGGCUUGAUUUCUGUUAUUUCCUCCAGCAUCAAUCUUUUCGCUCCUAAUAGCACUCUCAAUCAUCUCACCACUCAUAACUAUGUCAGAAAAGCUUUUUGUGGCACUUCCCAACAUAUGUGUGAUGAAUGGGGCCUUUAACGUAUUUAUAAAGAGUAUCACCAUUUCUCUUUCAAGGAGCGGUAGUUGGACCUGAACUGCAACCUUCCUCCAUCUCUGAGCGUACUGCCUGAAACCUUCAUUCGACUUCUUCUCCAUAUUUUGCAAAGUAAUUCUGUCAGGAACCAUUUCUGCCACAUGACUGUACUGCUUCAUAAAAGCCUGUGCCAAAUCCCUCCAGGAACUAAUCUUAGCACGGCUUAAUUGAUUAUACCAUUUAGACGCUGCCCCCGUGAGGUUAUCCUGAAAACAGUGUAUCAAUAACUGCUCAUUAUUGACAUACCCAGCCAUUCGUCUACAAAACAUGGUAAUGUGGGCCUUAGGGCAACUGGUCCCACCAUUCUUCUCGAAAUUCGGCACUUUAAAUUUGUAAGGGAGCACUAAAUCUGGUACCAAACUUAAAUCCUUAGCAUCAAUCCCAUGGUAUAUUUCAGUAGUUUCCAUUGCUUUGAAUUUCUCCUUAAUCCACUUCCAUCUUUCCUCCAAUUGCUUUGGUAAUUCCUCUUUUGUUCUCUCUUUUUCAACUGCUUCAUCGAAAUCAGGAAUAAUAGGAUUAGUAGGAUUGUUCUUAAGACUAAAGCUUGAUCCGACCUGGAAAUUCAUUUACCUCGAAGCAUCGACCUGAAAUUGUUGGGGCCUAAUCGUAACAGAAGAUUUACGGGGGUACACUUCCAUUUGGUGCUGCACAUGUAGAGGAGUGAAGCCUGAAGGAUACUGGAGUCCAUCCUCACAUUCUUCUUCAAUAUUUGUUACAGGGCUCUUUCCCUUAUCUUUUCCUUUAGUCAACAAUCGCGUUAACUUUGUCAUCAUGCUUCCUUGUGAUUCCUCCAUUUUAUCCAUCAAUCUUUGUUGAAUCUUCUCGAGUUGUCCCUUCAUUUGCUGUUGAAUAUGAUCCUGCGUUUCUUUUUGAAACUGCUCGAGCUUUUCCAACCUUUGGUCCAUAUUUUUUUAAUUUCGCUCUUGUACCGUAACGGUGUUGGGUUGGCUGGUUGGUUUCCAGGUUAACUGAGGAAUGAUUUUAACCAAUUAGGGCUUUUUAAUGGAUUUUAAUGCAUAUGAUGUCAUGCAAUGCAAAUGCAUGAAAUGAAUGCAUAAAAGAGACGUUGAUUCUGAUUCAAUUCUAUUUAGAAAACUUUACUAGAAGACAAAUUUCUUUACAUAAAGUGGAUAUAUAUACGUCUUUGCCCUCAUACUCCAGGCGAGGACAUCUUCUCCUUCUUCAUCCAAAUGUUAAGAUAAAUCUUGCGGAUUCUUCAAAAGGGGAAUCUUCUCUACCUCCUUUUUGCUUGAUCCUGGUUAUAAUCCAGCGUCUGCCCAUCCCCGUAAUGCUCAUUAGCUUCUUUAAGAAAGUUGGAAUGUUGAAAGCUCUUAGACAAUCAUCUUGAAUCCUCGGGCCCCGAAGUAAAGUCACGAAUUCUUCCACCGCCCUUCUUAUGUUUCUCGGAAUAUAUUCAGGCAGCCGUACUAUUUUUCAUUUUAUCAAGAAACCCGUUUUCUUAUGAUAGGCUUUCUAAGUUAGUAAUCAAACUUGAAUCAAUAUCUCUUUUCUAAAAUGCAAAUGCAACGCAAUCAUAACCAAAACAAAACGGGUUAGUAUCAGGUAUAAACAUUUAAUCCAAUACAAUCAAGAAAUAAUAAAAACUCCUAGUCAGGUAUCUACUAAGGUUUAGAGUAAUUCUACCUAGGGUAAGUUCCUAAGGUUCACUAUAUGCUGUUCGGCUUCUAGGGCAGGGGUACCUGAACCAGCAGAUUCCUCGAUCCUCACCCAUUAUAGGCUCAUAUAGACCGAGUUCAGUUCAGGGGGAUACAUUUCCCUAUGGCUACACGGAGAUGAAAAUCUCACGAAGACAUAGGUACGGAUGCAUCCCGAAAGCGAUCCACUAUCCUGCACGGAGGUGAAAACCUCACGAAGGACUAGUUUCUCACUCCCACCUAGAGGGAUAAAAAUGACCGAUUUAUGAAAUGCAAAAUGCAAAUAAGCUAACAUACUUAAGCCAAUCAAGCAAGCAUAUGUCAAUUAAAACCAAUGAAUGCAAUGGGGAAGUCAUGAAUUUUAAAACAAAAUUUAAUUUUUUGAUCAAAAGACAAAAAUUAAUCAAUUUACGGCUUGAUUCUCUAACCAGUCCUCAGUGGAGUCGCCAAGCUGUCGAAACCAUUUUUUUGAAAACAAAAAUUUAGUUGUCGACUUUAAAAACAAAAAUUGGAGUCGCCACCGAUCCUUUAUUAAGGUGUGAUCGGCUCACCAAAAAAAAAAACAAUUCUGGUCUGCAAAAUUUGAGAAAACAGGUUCGGGAGUCAGUUACGCACGAGGAAGGGUUAGCACCCUCGUAACGCCCAAAAAUCGGUACCAAAUUUUGAUUAUUUUAUGUCUUGAUGUCGAAAAUUUGAAAAGAUUUUAAAUAGAAAUUUUUAACUCGUGAAUGGAUUUAAAAUGAUAAAACAUUCUCAUUUCAAAGAAAUAAAACACCACACCCAGUAAGUUAAGGCACAAUAUUUUAAAUCUUCAAACUACCGAAUAUCGCUUUUUGUUUUAGAAAUUCUUAUUUCGAGAUAACGAAAUGUCACGACCAGUAAGUUAGGACCCGACAUUUUGAAUUCCCGAGAAUAAGCUUUUAUUUGAAAAUUGCAAAUUUAUUGUGAAAUGAAUACUUAGCUUGUUAAAUCCAUCGAAAAAAAUGAUAACGAUCCAGUAAGUUAGGACACGAUCUUUCUCGAGAAUCAUGAUUGCCAAAUAUUAAAAUGUUUAAAAAUAACCAUUUUAAUAUUAACAAAACCAAAAUAUAUUUUCUUUAAAAGUAUGAUAAAACGUUCCUGCCUAUAUAUACAAAAAUCACGAAAAUGAAUCAAUGAUACAAUGUACAUGCAUUUAAAAAAAACAAACAAACAUAAUAAUAUAUAAACAUAAUAUAUUAGUAAUUAUCAAAAAUAUGGACAUAUGUAUAUAUAAAAAACAAAUUAAAAAAAAAUAUAUAGUUAUAAAGGUAUAGAAUAAUAUAUAUAUCUAUGUAUACGUAUAUAUAUAAAAAUAUUUAAAUUGUAAAAUAUAGAAAACAUAUAAAUAUUAUAAAAGUAUAUACGCAUACAUAUGUAUAUAAAGCUAAGAAAACUGAAAUAAUAAUAAAAUCUAUGAUAUGUACAUAUUAUAAAAAUGUAUAAACAUAUGACUUAUAAAACGUGAAAAUAUAAAUAAUUAUAAAAUAUGAAUGUAUAUAAUAUAUAUAUAUAAACUAUAUAUAUAAAUUAUGGUAAUGAAAUAUAUACGCACUAUAUAUAUAUUUAAAACAUUUAGAAAUAAAAAAUAUACACAUAUAUUAUAAAGUACACAUGCGUGUAUAUAUGUAAGUAUAAUAAAAAUAAUAAUAAUAGUAAUAAUAAAAAUAAAAAUAAUAACUAUAUUAAUAAAAUAAACUAAAAACUUAAAAUGAAAGAUUAUGGAUUAAAUUGAAAAUAAUUGAAGUUUCAGGGGCAAAUCUGAAAUAAACAAAACACCAAUGGAUCAAAUGGAACAUGCAGUUAACAGUGGAGGACCGAAAGUGAAAUUAAUCCCUCCGUCCAAAACUCCACGCAGCAAUGGAUUAAAAUAAAACAAAUUCGACAUUUCAUGGCAAAAUUUGAAAACAAACCACAAUGAUUUUGAACUGAUGGGAUAAAAUGAAGGAUUAAAACGCAAAUAACCCAUCAGUGUUUAAAACCCUUUUCAUCUCCAAUUAAAAGCCUACUCUGCAGCAGCAAUAGACGCAAAAUUGCUUCAUCUUCCUUUUUUUCUUUAUUGUUUUAAAACAACAGAGGGAAGAAAGAGGGGUCUGCUAGGCCUUCUUUAAAGCCCUAACUACCGCCACGCCACCGCCGUUCAAGCUUCGCCGCCGACUCCGAUUCAGGUAAGUUUCGCCCUUUUCUUUUUGCUUUUUCUUUUGCACCAAAAACAGAGAAGCAAAGAAAAAAAAAGAAAAAAAAAUAAAAUAAAUAAAACACAAAGAAAAUUACCUUCAAAAAUUGUUUUUGAUUAUUUGUUUGUAUUUCAGUAUUUUUCCAAUACAAGAUUUUUCUCUUUUUAGUACAAAAUUUUUCUCCCCCCUCCAAAAACAGAAAAUCAUUGGCCUUUAUAUAGCCCUCCUUCAAUCCUUUUACAACUGUUUUGCUGUGUGUAUAUCUUAGUAGUGUUGUCUGUGGCUUGCAGAUGUGUGAGCGUUGUGCGAGUGGACGUGCCAGCGAAGAUGUGGGACAGUUUGGGAGGCUGCCGAACGUGGGGCGUGCACGGCACUGGAGGUUACUGCGACGUGGGACAAUGGUGGCGUCGAUCUGCUGCUGACUGUUAGUGUUUCUGCUGUUUGUUUUCUUGGUGUAAGGGGCUUAGGUUUAGGGCCUAGUGUAUUGGGCCAAGGGUAUUUGGGCAAUGUUAUGAUUUUGGGUUGGUCUUAUUUUGAAUGGGCCGGGCAAAAAUGGGCUAUUACAAUAAUCAUAUGAAAAUAUUACCUCAUCUAUUUUUAUAAAAAUGUAAAAAUUGAAUACUUGCACAUCCAUACAUAAUAACACUUAUAAUAGAAUGAUUUUAUUAUGAAAGCAUGCUUCUCAAUUUUAAUAAUCAAUACUAAAUAGUAACAUUAUAAUAUCAAUAAACAUAUUUAAAUAAUAAUCUUAAAAAAAAAAGUUAAAAUGACCCAACAAACAAAAGACUAGGCUGGUCUACUUCUUGGCCCAGUGGCCUGUUGCUUCUUUUUGGCCCAGUUGAUUGCUCCCAUCGGGGAAUGGGUUGUUUCUGCUUGGUGCCCCACUUGUUUCUUAAAUUUAGUUCAUUUUUUUUCUUCACCUUAUCAAACAAAAAACCUAAUUCUCUCUAAACCUACCUUUUUGCCACCGCUCUUCCUCCGUUGACGGUGCUCAUCGGUAGAAAUGGUCAUCGGAAUAAUUAUUUUUUUCUAAAAUAUUAUAUAUAUUGUUUUGAUUUUUAAAAAAAAAUUCAACUAUUUGAUGUUUUUCACAUUUAUGAUGUGAUUAAAUUGCCCCAUUUAAGUUGAAAGUGGCUAAAUUAUUCAUAAUCUAUUAGUUUAUUAAGGGAAAUAGUUAAAGGUCUUUUUCUUUUUUUAAUUUCUAAUACCAGAUCCACCGAAUUACUUCAUUUCCUAUUAAUUACUUCUAGCCCUAUAAUAUAAACACAUUUUAAAAUUGCAUUCCUUAAAUUCCGAUAUUAGUUUAAUAUAUCCUUUUAAACAAUAACUAAAUUUAUUGUGGUGAUGAUGUUUUUGUUUUUUCAUAUUUGUUAAUAAUCUUUCGAAAAAUUGGAGCAAUUUAAUCCAUGUCAAUUUAAAAAAUGACCAACUAAGAACAAUUAGUCACAACAUUAAUAAAAAGGAAAAAAAUUCAUUGUCCGAUAUUAGUUAGAGCAUGGUCGCAACAAUUUAUUUAAUCUUAUUUUCUUUUGUUUAUUUUACUGCAAUUUCAACUUUUAUAUAUUUCUGUUAUUUUUAUUUUUAAUCAGAUUAAACCCUCCUUUUUAGUUUUCGCACAGGGUUGGUAUAGGGUGAAAUCGGGUUAUAUGCUUGAUUUCUUUGUUGAUGGUCCUUGGUUGAAAUUUUGGAAUUGUCAUAUUUCAUUGAAAGUCAAACACUUCAUUCGGAGAUGUUUGAAAGGUUUCGUGCCUUGCAAUACUUAGUAGAGAGGGGAGUGCAAUUGGACUUGAAUUGUCAAAGGUGUGGCCUUGUUGAAAGUCUCGACCACGUCUUGAUUGAGUGCCUUUGAGCGAAACAUGUUUGACAGUACACUGGCAUUGAUACAGUUGGUCUAACAGUCACGAACUUACUUAUUAAUCUCCUUGACCGUAUGGAGACUACUUGUUUAUUAGUUUAGAGUCUAUGGUGGUUUCGAACCAUAAAGAUUACUCUACCGCUCAUAUUCAUUCUUUUGCUUUGAAGUAGGUGCUGGCAAAAUCUAAAUUGGAAAGAUCUUUUGGUCCUAUCAACUUAACUCCGGACACAGUAAAGUGGACUUUGCCCGUUGUUAAUGGGAUGAAAUGCUGUACCGGUGCAGUAGUAGGACGCUCAAGGACAAAUUGGGGAUACAGAGCUGUUCUUCAACGAUAAGGGCGAGUUCAUUAAAGGCUUGUUGAGCACUUGACAAUGGUUGUAAAUCCUGAACUUGCUCAAGCUUUACAGUUGCUCAUUAACGAUUGUUUUUAUCUUAAGAAUCAUCUCAGUAAUGCGUCUUUCAUGGACUCGUACUGAUGCUAAUAAAAUCGCUUACGCUUUGGCAAAGGUAGCUUUUGUCUUAUGAGAACUUGUAAAUUUGGGACUUUAUUCCUUCGUUUUUAAUUGAUAUUCUAAAUGUUGAUUGCCUAGACGGAGGUUUUGAACCUUAGGUGUGAGCGUAUAGAAAGGGCUUAUUGGUUUGAGCUAAUCAGUAAAGCCGGCAAAACAUGCCUGAGCUUGAAAGUCUACUUGUGUUGAUUAGAAC